ACACGAACAAUCAAUCACCCUCUACCGUCUAGGUUUCGUAAUUAUCUGUCAUAUUUCCCUGCCACUUCUUCCCAGAGACUCUUGUGCCGCCUUCCCAACUCUACCGCCGAACUUCCACGUCUCUCUCAGUUUCUCACGCGACCAGCUCCUGAAAAAUUUCCUGUUUCUGUUUUCACUAUUUGCUGGUACUCUUCCCUCUUCUCUCAACCCUCAACAAUCACUCUUCUAAUUAUCUCUCCUCUCAAUCCUUAGCUUUAAACAAAUUCGUUAGUUUAUAAUAUUUUUGGAUUUUAAACUUGUUCUUAUUAUCCUUAAGCACCAGAACCAUCACCUUCUUACCAACAUUCCAACCCUUACUAUUAAUUGGGUUAAUUAAUUGCGCCGUUUCUGAAUUAUAUUCGUUGAAUUUUGUUUGCAAUACUUGGAAACUCACUUUGGUGUAUUGUACCCGAGACCAUAUGGUAAUAUUUAAAUUCGCGUUUUGUACAAUUUAAUGACAUGAGAUAAUUUAGGUGAGAGUUUAUGAUUAUUCAUCAUUGGCUGAGCCAACCCUCCCUGCCCUAAUUUUGUGAACUCAAGCUAUUGUGAGAUCGGUUAUUGAUUUGUGGUUUUGGCUUGGGUUGCGCAUAAUCUAGCUCUUUUUCUUCAGCCACAAUGGGUAAAGCUAAAAAAGGACCCAAAUUUGCUGUUAUGAAGAAGAUUGUCACUUCCAAAGCAAUAAAAAACUAUAAAGAAGAGGUUUUGAACCCGGAAAAAAAGAAUCUUCUAAAGGAAAAGCUGCCCAGAAAUAUUCCAAGUCAUUCUUCGGCGCUUUUCUUUCAAUACAAUACUGCUCUGGGACCUCCUUACCGUGUUUUGGUGGAUACUAACUUCAUCAAUUUCUCAAUUCAGAAUAAAUUGGAUCUGGAGAAAGGGAUGAUGGACUGCCUAUAUGCAAAAUGCACCCCUUGUAUCACGGAUUGUGUGAUGGCAGAACUUGAGAAGUUAGGUCAAAAAUAUCGUGUAGCACUAAGGAUUGCAAAGGAUCCCCGAUUUGAGAGAAUACUUUGUACUCAUAAAGGAACAUAUGCUGAUGAUUGCCUUGUUGAAAGAGUUAAUCAGCAUAAAUGUUACAUUGUUGCAACAUGUGAUCGGGACUUGAAGAGGAGAAUUCGGAAGGUAAAAGUCAUUAUUUAUUUUCUGUUUUUUGUUUUGAUAUUGGACCCUGAUACACGAGCUAUGAACUGGGUUUCUUUAUUUUAGAUUCCUGGUGUGCCCAUAAUGUACAUCACCAAACAUAGGUACUCAAUCGAGCGGUUGCCAGAAGCAACAAUUGGUGGAGCACCAAGAAUUUGAUACAGUGAAACUCAAACUGGUAAAGCUGGGUAUACCAAUAAUCUCCACUAAUUUCUUGGUCGAGAAGUAUGAAAUCCUGAUACAGUUCCAUUUAUAUUUGGUCACCAACUUUUGCUGGCUGGAUUGAAUUCUGACGGACGUUUUACACUGAGCAAUGGCAACUUUUCCAUGGUUGAUCCGAGAAAUUUUCGCAGAGUAACUUGGUAGAUUUGGGUUCUGUCAAAUUUUGUUUUCCUCAUGUUGCUUAUAGUGGAGUGCUUGAACUUAACAUCUUCAUAGUUGUAGUCGUAUAAACACUUGAAAGUUGAAGAGAGAAUAUUUUUAUUUGGGGAUAGAAAAAGCGUAUUUUGCUUGAAUCUGAAUUGUACUGAAAUCAUUCACAUAAGUAGAAACUGGAAAAUUCAAAAUCACAUUUUUUU